rnacentral:rRNA from 1 species
AACGUAGGUUCCGAGCGUUAUCCGGAUUUACUGGGCGUAAAGCGCGUUCAGGCGGUUUGGCAAGUCGGGCAUGAAAUCUCUCGGCUCAACCGGGAGAGGUUGUCCGAUACUGCUGGACUUGAGGGCAGUAGAGGGUGGUGGAAUUCCGGGUGUAGUGGUGAAAUGCGUAGAUAUCCGGAGGAACACCAGUGGCGAAAGCGGCCACCUGGACUGUACCUGACGCUGAGACGCGAAGGCGUGGGGAGCGAACGGG